GAUUGCAGCACUUAGGGCCACUAACCCAGCGGUUCCCUUGGUAAGCACCCUGGACUUGCUUCCAGAAAUUGAGGUGACCCUUCUGCCCACCAUGCCCAGGCCAUCCAGUGAUGUAGAGCCCUCCACCAGCCAGCAGCCACCCAGCUUUCAGGAGCCGGAGAGCCCCCAGAUCAUGGGGUGACACUGAAUAACAUCACGGAAGAGUUUCGGCUCAACCAAUUAGGGCCAGACCCAUCAUCUAAACAUACUGAUGAUGUAAAUGCCAAAAUGUAUAGAAUUAAUCAAUUCUUAACACACAUGAGUGAGGGUAAGACGAGACUGAGCACCCUGAUCUUCCUGAACGAGACGAGCAGGAUUCAUGCGUGGGUCGCCUCCCUGCGCAAGGCCCACAAAAAGGAAACAACAAUUAAGUAAUAUGUGCAGAACGUCUCAGUUCUUGAAACUCCUCCCCCUUCCUGUCGACUGUCAAAGACAGUGCUGAUUGGUCUGCGCAGUAGUCUAGAUGGGAUGUCCCAAAAAGUGAAAGUGAGGAGCAUUUAUGGGUACAAGUCGGGUACCGGCCUAUCUUACAUAUUUCAAGGGUGCUGAGUCCAAAAAAACUGGUACCCAAGCGAAAUUUUGAGUUUUUUACCUUCUAAUUUGCUUAUCAAAAUGGCCGCCAAAUUGCCUAUCUUGCUCAGUCGUUGGACCAUUUUCUCCUAGUUUUUUUGUAAGUAGGCAAUCAAAAUGAGGAAAUUAAGUUUUUAGAUCAAUAGUCAAGGGUCAGAGCAAAGAUAUAUUGGAGGCUCACUGCCUUUUUUAUGUAUAUAUAUAUUUGUAAAAUACCAACUUUUAAGGUGAAACACUAGGUGAAUAGGGUAAGAUUUUUAAAUAAUAGAUAUCACCAUGAAACU